AACGAACGCUGGCGGCAGGCUUAACACAUGCAAGUCGAGCGCGUAGCAAUACGAGCGGCAGACGGGUGAGUAACGCGUGGGAAUCUACCGUACCCUAUGGAAUAGCUCCGGGAAACUGGAAGUAAUACCAUAUACGCCCUUAGGGGGAAAGAUUUAUCGGGGUAUGAUGAGCCCGCGUUGGAUUAGCUAGUUGGUGGGGUAAAGGCCUACCAAGGCGACGAUCCAUAGCUGGUCUGAGAGGAUGAUCAGCCACAUUGGGACUGAGACACGGCCCAAACUCCUACGGGAGGCAGCAGUGGGGAAUAUUGGACAAUGGGGGCAACCCUGAUCCAGCCAUGCCGCGUGAGUGAUGAAGGUCUUAGGAUUGUAAAGCUCUUUCACCGAUGAAGAUAAUGACGGUAGUCGGAGAAGAAGCCCCGGCAAACUUCGUGCCAGCAGCCGCCGUAAAAC
rnacentral:rRNA from 1 species